UACUCAAAAAGCUGUCAGUCA
rnacentral:miRNA from 2 species